AGCGCAGGUGGUUGUAUAAGUCUGAAGUAAAAGGCAGUGGCUCAACCAUUGUGUGCUUUGGAAACUGUACAACUUGAGUGCAGAAGGGGAGAGUGGAAUUCCAUGUGUAGCGGUGAAAUGCGUAGAUAUAUGGAGGAACACCGGUGGCGAAAGCGGCUCUCUGGUCUGUAACUGACACUGAGAUGCGAAAGCCAGGGUAGCGAACG
rnacentral:rRNA from 1 species